GCAGGAGCCGGCGGGGCGUGCGGCGUCACUUCCGCAAGCGCGUCCUUCCGCCGUGUCCGCGCUGCGGGAUGUGGCGCCCGUAAAGCAGAACCGACCGAACCGCCCCGUACCGCCCGCACAACAGCCGGGAGAGCCGCGCAGCCCGGGACGACGAAGGAACCGGGCAGAGAACGCGGCGUACGGAACAGAGACCGGGCGGAAUGUGAGCCGUAAAGGAACGUUGAUCUGCACGGCGGGCAGCGGAACCGCCUCGGGACGGCGGAGCCAACCCCGGGCCCAGCAGAGCAACGGGAGGAGCGAGCGGAGCUUUAGAGCCGCGUCAGGGAGCGCUGAGGGUGCGGGGACCGGCCCGGCUCCAUCCUGCCCAUCUAAAGGCAUUUCCACGCCGUUAAUGCACCUCCGGAACAUGCACCCGAGCUCACGGCCGCUCCCGAAACCGUUUGGUGUCAUUGAGCGCAAAGAGAUGGUGGGAUUCACGUCGGACUGUAAGAGCAGGAGAAUAAACGGUGCGGAGCGGGAGAAUCCGGGAGCACAGGAACUGAGUUCAUGCACAAACGAGAGCACACAGCAGGGAUGCACAGCGUCAACUUCAUUGCAACUCGGUUACAAAAUUGACCAAAAAAAAAGAGGAAAAUCAUCUUGUAAACGUAUUCACAUCGUUUUGGAGCUGACAGAACCGGUUGUAGUAACAUGCUGAAAUGAAGAUUGUCAAAUCUCAGCUCACCCCACAGCGCAGCCCAGUGAGCUGAGCCUCACAGCAGGAACAAACCAGGUACAGGAGUUAAAGCUCGUGGGGUCCCUGGAGAUUGUGGAGCAGCAGGGAAAGGGCCGAGUCCAACACGUGGAGCUCCCGCAAGCAAAGUGAGCAUCAGCGCGGUCAGUUUGCUCUGUAGAGCUGCAUGGAACCUGAGAGCAGCGAUGGAGCUCAGGACACCACCCGACCCUUCAGCUGCAGCAGAAACAAAAGAAACAUUUCCCAUCAGGAGCAACUUGUGAGCCCUCUGCCAUCACAUCCACCUUCCUGAAUGGCAAGACAGAAACUCCCUGCAGUUCCACAACGUGCUGCCCGCCCUCAUCGACUGCACAAGGAGAAAAUGGAAGUCAACUGAAAAUAUACUUGGAAACAGUUUUUGGAACAAUAUAUUACAAAAUUACUGUGAGAAGAUGAACUACAAUUCCUUAGACGUUGAGGUACAUUAACAGUCAUCAGUCUCUCACCCCUGGAUGCAACCAGAGUUCAAAACGAUCCAACCUGUGACCAAAUACCACCAACACAACUGGAAGACAUCACUACGUCCCUAACAGCAGCGGCUGGCACUGCCCGGUGGGACCCGCACGGCUCCACUGGGUUCUGUUACUUGGAAUGGAGCAGAUCUUCAAAAAUAAAUUAGUUCAAUAUAAAUAAUUCACAAACUGCUUUGUGCAAAUUUUUUUUUAUUUCCACAUUUAUAUCACAAUGUGUCCACUUAAAGGACCAAAUAGCAAAGUUGCUCCCUUCUGCAUCCCAGGAACACAGAAGUCUAGGUACUGUACAUUCACUAAGGCUCUUUGUUUUUGCAAAUUGCGUUUAUGAUGGAUAUCCAUAAGGCAAACAAUAUCUAAAGGAAUGGUAACAAGUAUAUUUCCAGCAUACAAACAGGCUUCCUUUUUCCCUCUCACAGUACAGUUACGGACUUGUAGCACCCUCGUUACAUUUAGAUUCUAGAAAAGGUGAUUUUUUUAUUUAGUUUUUUGUUUCCUAGUAGUUUUGCAGGAAGGGAAAAGGAGGAAAAUAUUUGGCUGGUGGCGGCGGGAUCAAAAAUGUCAGGAAAUAUCUGGGUUUUUUUUUUGCAGCAUUUCUCAGAGACUGGAUUUAAACCAAAACCAGACUGAAACAUGUGGAUGCCCAUGGAAUGUUGAGCUGAAGCUGGUCUCCCAGCCUGCAGUGCAACACCUGCUGUUUAAAAGCCAAUCUCCGUACCACAUGACUUUAAAAAAAAACACAAUCAUGUUCAGAGAUGCCAUACAAAUAAAACUACAGUUUUUGCA